rnacentral:rRNA from 1 species
GACGUAGGAGGCGAGCGUUGUCCGGAUUCAUUGGGCGUAAAGAGCGCGCAGGCGGCUUGGUAAGUCGGAUGUGAAAUCCCGAGGCUCAACCUCGGGUCUGCAUCCGAUACUGCCCGGCUAGAGGUAGGUAGGGGAGAUCGGAAUUCCUGGUGUAGCGGUGAAAUGCGCAGAUAUCGGGAGGAACACCGGUGGCGAAGGCGGUUCUCUGGGCCUUACCUGACGCUGAGGAGCGAAAGCGUGGGGAGCGAACAGG